ensembl:lncRNA
UGCCUCUCCUGGAAUGUAGACCAGAGGCCUAUACUACAAGGAACCUCAUCUCCAUCUUCACCUCCACCCUCAUCUCCAUCUCCAUCUCCAACCUCAUCUCCACCUUCAUCCACAUCUCCACCUUCAUCUUCAUCUCCACUUCCCCCUCCAGAGUCAUGUAGUGACUCCAGAGUCUCUCUGUCCAGGCUGUUGUGUAGUCUACUGGUGGUGUCUCCAUACCUGAUAGUGACCACUGUACUGAUGGUGAAACACAGCAGGAACAGGAACAGAGCUAAAGAGAUAUUAUCAUUCCCAUCUCUGUAACAUUUCUGCUCUAUCUGAAGAAGAGAAGCUGUGAUGUCAUCACAUAAUCAGGAAGGAAUUUUCAGACAACUGAACUUCUCUCUAGAUGGGUUUGACUUGACUAACAUUACAUUAACCGAAAAUGACUACUGCAAAGACAACUUUUCACAUUAAUAUAAAAUUAUCAUGACAAACGUGACUGGUGAAACCAGUGUGUCAUUACUAACAGAAAGACAGUUGUAGUGUUAUAAUUAAUUCUAAACUAAGUGUCAAUAAUGUUAGCCAGCCUUCAAG